GGAGGAGUGGCCGAGUGGUUGAAGGCACCGGUCUUGAAAACCGGAAAAGGGCAACCUUUCGUGAGUUCAAAUCUCACCUCCUCCG
rnacentral:tRNA from 1 species